rnacentral:rRNA from 1 species
GUCGACGAUGACCACUUCGGUGGGGAUUAGUGGCGAACGGGUGAGUAACACGUGGGCAAUCUGCCCUUCACUCUGGGACAAGCCCUGGAAACGGGGUCUAAUACCGGAUAGCACUUCUGCUCGCAUGGGCAGGGGUUGAAAGCUCCGGCGGUGAAGGAUGAGCCCGCGGCCUAUCAGCUUGUUGGUGAGGUAAUGGCUCACCAAGGCGACGACGGGUAGCCGGCCUGAGAGGGCGACCGGCCACACUGGGACUGAGACACGGCCCAGACUCCUACGGGAGGCAGCAGUGGGGAAUAUUGCACAAUGGGCGAAAGCCUGAUGCAGCGACGCCGCGUGAGGGAUGACGGCCUUCGGGUUGUAAACCUCUUUCAGCAGGGAAGAAGCGAAAGUGACGGUACCUGCAGAAGAAGCGCCGGCUAACUACGUGCCAGCAGCCGCGGUAAUACGUAGGGCGCAAGCGUUGUCCGGAAUUAUUGGGCGUAAAGAGCUCGUAGGCGGCUUGUCACGUCGGGUGUGAAAGCCCGGGGCUUAACCCCGGGUCUGCAUUCGAUACGGGCUAGCUAGAGUGUGGUAGGGGAGAUCGGAAUUCCUGGUGUAGCGGUGAAAUGCGCAGAUAUCAGGAGGAACACCGGUGGCGAAGGCGGAUCUCUGGGCCAUUACUGACGCUGAGGAGCGAAAGCGUGGGGAGCGAACAGGAUUAGAUACCCUGGUAGUCCACGCCGUAAACGGUGGGAACUAGGUGUUGGCGACAUUCCACGUCGUCGGUGCCGCAGCUAACGCAUUAAGUUCCCCGCCUGGGGA